AUGCCCACAAGGUAUGAUUUUGCCCCCUUUUUUUGUUGGUGUUUUUUACAUAAGUAUAUACAUAUAGAUAGCUUAGUUUUCUUCUACAUACUUUAUAGUUUCAAUGAUGACACAUAUAUGACAACUAUGGGUGUUGGCUCCAACAAUUCUCAUUGGUCACAAACCAAUGAACUGCAUGAAGACGAUCAUGAGUUUGAGGUGGACGAGGAUGGGGAGGGUAUAGUCGAUGCACCAAAAGGAUGA
rnacentral:rRNA from 1 species